GCCUUCGGUGUGUAGUGGUGAGCACGCCGGACGGGUAUUCCAGUGGUCAGUGGUUCGAGUCCCGGCGAAGGCG
rnacentral:tRNA from 1 species